ensembl:lncRNA
GAUUGCUUGUGCAGCAGAUGUAAUCAGUUCUGACUAAAGAAAGCCAUAUGGGUUUGGAAUGAUGAGGGCUGUGUAUGGAGAUGGCGCCGCCUCCGCAGUGCAUUGACAUGCAAACCAGAUCCCACUAGAGACAUGAAGAGAAGUAUUA